UUAAUCUCGGGCGCUGUAAACGAGAGCCGCACGCCGGCAUGGGGGAGAUGACACCAGCUCGGAAUUUGAUAAUGAAAAAUGGGCAAGUUUAAUUUCAGGGAAUGGAUAAAAACGUUUGCCCGCUGCGAGGACGCUACUUCUCAGCCCCGUCUGGACCUGGUUCACUCCAUACUAGGCUCUGAGAAGAUGCCGGCGUGGGACCCUGCCCCUGCCAGUGCUGAAGAGAAUUUAUCCUUGAGGUGAUGGAGAGGAACAUGGAUGUGUAGCCAGCCUGAGGGGAUGCUAGAACCUUCUGUUGACCCCUUCCAGUCUGUGUGAUCGUGGCUCUCAUUGAGCUCUCUUGGACCCUGGAAGUCAGCUGGAUCAUGAAGGACAAGUGGAUGUGGACCCGCUGAACUGUGGGCAGAGUGAAGGACCCUCACAGUGACUGUGAACUGAUUCUCAGGCCCAAGCUCUGAAUCCAGAGAGGCAAGGCCCGUGUGUGGCCCUCUAGUUCUACUGUUCUUGUGCUGGAGAAUUCUUCUGUAGUCAUCCUCAUGGGGACAGGUGUGCCUCAGGAACCUCACAUCUCAGGCAGGCUGCCCUCCGGCCUGAAACAACCUUCCCUGAGCCCUGUGCACCCCAAACAAAAGCUGCAUCUGACUCCUCAGCCUUUGUGCACAUCUGCAUUAUUAGCAAUGCUAAUACCAUUCUGCAAUGAUAAAUAAUUAAACAAUUAUGGUCAUGAAUCAAUAAGUUUAGCACAUUUUUUCAUCAGUAAAUUGUACUGUAUAAACAAGAAAUAUAAAUUACCAAGUC